UACAGAGGGUGCAAGCGUUGUUCGGAAUUACUGGGCGUAAAGCGCGUGUAGGCGGCCUUUCAAGUCAGACGUGAAAUCCCUCGGCUUAACCGAGGAACUGCGUCUGAUACUGUUGGGCUAGAGUGUCGGAGGGGAUGGCGGAAUUCCCGGUGUAGAGGUGAAAUUCGUAGAUAUCGGGAGGAACACCCGUGGCGAAGGCGGCCAUCUGGAAGACAACUGACGCUGAGACGCGAAAGCGUGGGGAGCAAACAGG
rnacentral:rRNA from 1 species